rnacentral:rRNA from 1 species
CGCAUGGCGCUGCUACACUGCAGUCGAACGCUUUGUCUUUACUGAUCUGACGAGCUUGCUCUGAUUUGAUUUUAUCUGACAAAAAGUGGCGAACGGGUGAGUAACACGUGGGUAACCUACCUCUUAGCAGGGGAUAACAUUUGGAAACGAGUGCUAAUACCGUAUAAUACCAACAACCGCAGGGUUGUUGGUUGAAAGAUGGUUCUGCUAUCACUAAGAGAUGGACCCGCGGUGCAAUAUCUAGUUGGUAAGGUAACGGCUUACCACGGCAAUGAUGCAUAACCCAGUUGAGAGACUGAUCGGCCACAAUGGGACUGAGACACGGCCCAUACUCCUACGGGAGGCAGCAGUAGGGAAUCUUCCACAAUGGGCGCAAGCCUGAUGGAGCAACGCCGCGUGUGUGAUGAAGGGUUUCGGCUCGUAAAACACUGUUAUAAGAGAACAACGGCACUGAGAGUAACUGUUCAGUGUGUGACGGUAUCUUACCAGAAAUGAACGGCUAAAUACGUGCCAACAGCCGCGGUAAUACGUAUGUUCCAAGCGUUAUCCGGAUUUAUUGUGCGUACAGCGAGCGCAGACGGUUAUUUAAGUCUGAAGUGAAAGCCCUCAGCUCAACUGAAGAAUGGCUUUGGAAACUGG